GAGAGCAGCAUGGGUGGUGAGGAGAUUGGGUGGGGGGAGCCUGGGGAAGCAGGGAUGUAGAGGUGGAAUUUGUAUCCCUCCUCUCUCCUUUGCCAUGGUAACGGGCCCCCACCCCUUAUCCUACUCUAAUCGGUCACUUGUGGGAAGAGAGUUUAGGGGGCGAAGGAGGCAUCCUCUGGCACUUAAACAGAAUAAGCACCUUAAACUCAAACUAAUGCACUUUAUUGAGAUGGGAUUUGAAUAGGUUAUUUCGUUCAUUUUUUUUUUUUUCUUUCUUUUUUUUUUGGGUGUUGAACACAGAAUCAGUGCCCAGGUGGUAUGUGUGUAUCACAUCUACACAAGAUACUGCGGGGGCACACUGCGUGUAUGAAUCAGAACUGGAAGGUUGAGGUGGUUGGUUGCUUGGUGGAAGUGACGGGGUGUUUUUGUUUUUAGCAAAGUCAGGGGGACCUUUAUUUUGAAAGACCUUAUCAGAAAACAAAUCCUUUCUUGAAAGACAAACACUGUUGAUAUUUUUUGUUUGUUUGUUUGUUUAGCCUUUUUAUAAAGAAAGACAUUUAUAUAAAAAGUAAAGCUAUUAAAAAAAAUUCUAAUAAAAACUUGAAGAUUUGCACUUGCGUUAAAAAAAGACAGAAAAUUACAACAAAAAAUUUCAACGAAUGGGGUUAGAUAUUGAGAUGAAUAUUUUUGUGAACGUGUGUGCGUGUUGAAUAAGUGAAAUUGUGUAAGAGUUUGAGUGUCAGCGGGCAGGUGUACAUCAGUAACAUGCCUGUCUGCACUAUGUUUUUCUUUUCAAUGCUUACCAAGAUGUAUGAAACAUAAGAGGCCAUUUUUCUCUUUUUGUUCAAAUGAUAAUUUUGUAAUUUCAUGAGUAGAAUGUGUACCUCUUUUGUAUCCAUGUUUGACUGUGUGUGUCUAAAUGUGAGUGUGAAUGAGCAUAAGAGAGUGACAGAGAGAGAGGGCAGGCAGGCAAUCGCACAACGCAUCCUUUAUCUCACCAGCUUUUCAUCCCCAGGUAAAUGUAAACAGAGAAUCAGACAUUUGUAAUUAGUAGCUUUGCUCCCUGUCAUGGGACAUGGGUUCACCCUCGCUGUCGGUUGGUUGUCUGGAUGGAGGGGCGUGGCCUCCUACCCAGCUCACCAUCUCCCCGCGGGCAACGUGUCCGGACCUCCAUGAGGCCGCCAGGGCGUGGGGCAAACCUCCAUGAGCUUGUGUGUGGGGGUUGCUGGUCUUAGAGGUGAGUGAUCCCUACAGGUACUCAUCUGUGUGUGUGUUGUUUGUGUAUGAAUGCACAAUUGUGCCUAAGGACUUUGAAAAAGAGCGUAAACGGCCAUUGAGACAUUAUCUUGAGGUUGAGUGAGUGAGAGACCAGAUACUAUUUCUAGUUGAACCUGGGGAUGGUUCAUUGGAAGGUUAGUCCAGCUUUUUUUUUUUUUUUUUCUGGGGUGUGAUCACGUUGCCUUUAGUCACCUCUCAAACUCGUGAAUGAAAGGUUUUGAGUUAAAGACUCAAACUAUUAGCAUCCAACUGUGCAAGUGUACAGGAAGGUGCACAAAAUGUUUGUAUGUCGUGUUACCUAUAUUCAUCGUUGCUGUUGAUGACUUUCAUUUUUUAUAUAUAUAAAUAUUAAUGAAAAUAUAUAUGAAUAUAUACAUUAUAUACAAAGUUUAAAAAAAAGUAUUUGAACUAAGAUUAUGUUGAGCACUUGGGGCUGCUAUUUCUGUUCAUUUUAAUCUUUUAUUUUUCCUUAAUUUUGUUUUUCAUUAUCGCCAUGUGAAGUGCGUUUGUAUUAUUUCUUAAGAAAAGAUUGAAUGUAUUCCAAAAAAACACAAGAACCGUGCUGAUACCAGAUUAUUUUUUUCCUUCUUAAAAUGUCAAAUUUAAACAAGCAAAAAAAAAAAAAAAAAAAAACUUUACAGAGAAGAGUUUAGACAUGUCUUUUUUUUUUACACAAAGGAGAGAAAAUAAGUAUCUCUUGGAUUGACACAGUUACACCCACUGCCUCUACAAUCCUGUUCCUGCGAGGACAACGUGACUAAGAAAAUUACAUAAAAAAAUCGAUUAAAAAAAACUCUUCUAUUCCUUACUGGAGGUUAGGUUGUUUACAGACCACAUGAAUUUUUGUGGGUGCAGGUUAGUGUGGGGUUUUCGAGGGGGGAGGGGGGGUGCUUGCAAGUGCUCUUCUGCACUGUGGACAAUGAGUGGCAUGUUGUUUUUUUUGUUAGUUUUUUGAAGAGCAAUGAUAUAAUCUGCAAUGUAACGGACAACAAGGAGCAUGAGGAGCGACAAAUCAAAGAUUGUCUCAACUUUUCUUUGUGAGAUGGAAUGUGUGGGUUACUUUUGUUUACCAGUAUUUUUUUUCCUUAUCCAUUCUGCUAUCUUCUUCCAUUGUUUUUUUUUUUGACUGCCUGUAGCUGAACAAGAGGAAGAUCGACUCUUUCUAUUGGUGGAAUUAAACAAAAUGAACGGUGUGGAUUUAGCUGGUACAUGGAAAUUGCAACAUCCUCGCUUUACCAAACAUGUUCUGGAUGCAGAGUUGAAUACUUUUCUUCCCGGUUUCCUCUUUUUGCUAACCUGGAAAACAAAGAUGGACAAAUCAUCGUGGCGUGGAUGAGAGAGAGGAGGAGCAAAGAAAGGACACUGUCAGGAUCGGAACUGUUCGUAUACAUAACCUCAAACCUACCAUUCAUUUACAUGUGAUAGGACUGUGUAUAGGCAAGUCUUGCCUUCCUUUUUUAGUGUCUCUUUUUGAACGAGGGGGGGGGGGGGGGUUGUUGGGGGUGCGGUUGGGUUGGUUACCAGGGAAACGGAGGGGUGAGGCAAGGGCCCCUUCUGCACCCCCCCCCCUCACACACUCACUAUGCACAUGUGUUCAUUCAAGCUGUGAUGUUCCAUUGCAUUGUGAGAACCAGAGCAUUACAGCAAGAUGGUUAAUUUGAGGAUGUGGACUUUAGUCAGUGUGUCUCACUAAAAAAGAGAUGUAAAAAAAAAACUUCUAUCAAAAGCAAGUAUCCUGGGGGGGGGAGGGGGAUAAGGGGAGCUCCGUAAUACCAUAGACUGAAGACCACACAGCGUUACCCGCCACCCCCCCCCCCCCCCUUGUGUCGAUAAACAUAUUUUUGUAUUCCCUUGCGUGUGACGUCACUUGGGACUCCCACUGAUCCAGGAUGGCCUCCUGACAGUGAAGGAGAGUCAGGAUGGGAUGGGUCUGAGGAGCAAGAGUGGAUGAUCCUCAAAGAUACAAUUUUUUUUUUUUAUAUAUAUAUACAUACUUGGGAGUUAAAUUAACUACUUGAGACUGGAUUUCUUUUAUACUCCCUUUGCCAGUCGUCCUGUCCCAAAAAACGGGGGCAGGGAUGAGGUGUGGGGCUGGGGGUACACGCAGCGACUCCCAAGACUGAACCCUGAUAGCGGGCAUGGAUGCCCCCCUGCCUCGUGCCCCGGCUGGCAAAACAAACACCAAAACAGGAGUCAGAGGAGAACGGGAGGGAGCGCAUGGAUGGAGGAGAGCAGCUCCAUUCCCUGCAGUGCAAUUUUACUACUGCGAAGGAGAACCAUGAUGUGGGGUUCCUGCUGUUGCCUGCAGCCUUUUGCCGUGAAGAAGAUCCGGGACCUUUGACCUUCCAACUUUGAGAUCCGCUGUGCCGGCGCUCCCGAGACACGCGUCUGCAGUGCAUUCUGGGUGCAAGGGCUUUUCCCUCAACGUGCGCAGCGGUCGAGGAAGAGGCUGCCCUUUGUGAGACUCCCUCCGCAGCCACAGAGAGACGGACCUUUCAGGGAGACCCCGAAGACCACGAUGGCAUGGAUGACUCCUGACUGUAGGGGGCCGCAAUCCAAGGCUGUUGCCCAGGAAUGGUGACUGGAACCUGGGGUGAAGGGGCAGGGUGGAGCCCCUUCCCUGGUGAAGAACAGGACUUCUUCUCAAACACACACACACACACACACACAUAUAUAUAUAUAUAUAUAUAUAGACGUUUUUACAUGUAGCUAAAAUGUGUAAAAUCAUUCCAAACACGCACAUAGAUAACAUUACACACAGGUCCCUUUCCUGAACACUCUAGACACAGAUGUGUAAAGAGCUUACAACUCACACACACACACACACUAUACAUUUAGCAGGCCUGAGUACCAUAUCCUUUGAGCCUUGUCUGCUUUGUAAAUAAUGUAAAAGUUGUUUUUGUCCUGUGGGGAUUAGGGUCUAUUUCUUUCAGUUUGACUUGCCUUAACUGUACAGACUUGUCCGCCUUGGUUGGCCAAUUCAAAAAGCUGUCGGUUUUUGAUUGGAGGGAAGUGAAGGACAUAUUACCAAACGGCAUCUCUUAUUGGCUGACAAGACCUGCUGUGUGUUGUGUGACAUACUAGCAUUCAAAUUUACAUUUUCUAAAUGUGUUCACUGCAGUUCAAACAUUAACCGAAACAUAGAACAGUAGGCAAUCUCUGAUGAUGGUGAUUGAUUAUGAUGAUGGUUUGCCUUUCUUUCUUUUUUUUCGAGAUGUUCUGAUUCCCAGUUUGAAAUGCCUUUACGUGUAGCUGCAGGUGCAGGAUGGGCGGAGUCUUCUGAUUGGAGCUGAGCUGAGCAGGAGGGGCUGAAUGACCACACUCUACCCUCAUGUCAACUGGCAGAAGGGGUCAAACGUACUAGACUUGAGAGCCAUGUUCAUGUUUGUCUAGAUCAGUGGUUCUUAACCCUGCCCUCAGGGAACCCCUGUCCUGCAUGUUUUAGAUGUUUCUUGGCUCCAACACAACUGAUUCAAAUGCAUGUUCGUUACCGGGCUUCUACAGAGUUAGAUAACGACCCAUUUAUUUGAAUCAGGUGUGUUGGAGCAGGGAAACAUCUAAAACAUGCAGGACAGGGGUUCCCUGAGGACAGGGUUAAGAACCACUGGUCUAGAUUCUACUAAACUGUUUGGGAAAAAUGGGCUGAGGUUAUUGAGCACUGCUCGAAAUGACUGAAUUUGCCAUGAAUCGUUUUAAUAUUUGGAUCUGAGAGGAGUUGACGGUUUUGUUCAAGAAUAAUUUUAUUAAGUAUUUAUUCAUGGCGGCUCACUUAUGACAUUUAAAUAGGUCAAAAUAUUGUGUUACUUUUAUUCCAUCGAUGCAGUUGAUGAUGGUUGUCCAAGCGGGUAUUUGUGACAAGCAGCAAUUCAGUAUUUCUCCACUGACACGAGUGAUAUUGUGUUCUAUUUCCAACAUGUUUCUCAGAGUAGAUAGGAGACUUGGUCUGAAACGUGUGUGCAGUCGGUUGUGACUUCGAAGGGAGUUUGACCAUCAUUGUCAAGAUACAUUUUUUGUGACUCACAUGGUGGCACCCUAUUUUGAAGUGGGCUUCAGUUUUUUUUUUCUCGUAUUUUUUAAAAUGCAGUCAUCUCUUUUAAGUGCCAUACUCUGAACUGUCAUAUGUGCGUUUCAUUUUUAAAAGGCGUCUUUGUUGUCGGAGAAGUCGGUGGUUAGCUGUCAGAAUGUCGUUUUUGUGUGUAUACUCGGCAGGUUGUCUAGUCUCAAACUGUCAGAAUGUUCCUCUGGUUUCCCAGUAGCUCCCAUCAGAGUUCCGUAGGGAUUGUGUUGUCAUGGCAGCGAGGCCCCUAAGGAAUCCCAACAAAAGCUUUUGAUUGAUGUAUGAAUUCAUGAAAUGAAUGAAUAUUCGACAAGUAGAUUUUGAUUAAAUGGAAAUGUAGGCUACUCUGUUAUCCAGCCCCAACCAGUCCGCUCAGCUCCAUUUUCUUUAAACUAUUUGAAUGUUUGUGAUAAUAGCAUACAUGUAACACAACAAAUGCAUUUGGGAAAAAGAACAACCUAAAGAAAAGUGUAAAUAGUUUGGUUUUUGUUUGUUUGAAGAUUGAAGAAAAAAAAACAAUAAAAUAAGCAUUUAAACCGUA